UACGAAGGGGGCUAGCGUUGUUCGGAAUUACUGGGCGUAAAGGGCGCGUAGGCUGUGCUGUAAGUCAGGCGUGAAAGGCCCGGGCUCAACCUGGGAACUGCGCUUGAUACUGCGGCGCUUGAAGACGGGAGAGGAUGGCGGAAUUCCCAGUGUAGAGGUGAAAUUCGUAGAUAUUAGGAAGAACACCAGUGGCGAAGGCGGCUCACUGGUCCGGUACUGACGCUGAGGUGCGAAAGCGUGGGGAGCAAACAGG
rnacentral:rRNA from 1 species